rnacentral:rRNA from 1 species
CCUACGGGAGGCAGCAGUGAGGAAUAUUGGUCAAUGGGCGAGAGCCUGAACCAGCCAAGUAGCGUGCAGGAAGACGGCCCUAUGGGUUGUAAACUGCUUUUAUACGGGGAUAAAGUGAGCCACGUGUGGCUUAUUGCAGGUACCGUAUGAAUAAGGACCGGCUAAUUCCGUGCCAGCAGC